GUUGAAAGACCGGUUCUCGUACAAUCACCGAAGUUAAGCAACCUCAUGCCUGGUCAUUGCUUUGUUGGGUGACCGCUUGGAAAUACCAAGUGCUGUA